rnacentral:rRNA from 1 species
UACGUAGGGCGCAAGCGUUGUCCGGAUUUAUUGGGCGUAAAGAGCUCGUAGGCGGUUUGUCGCGUCUUCCGUGAAAACUGGGGGCUUAACUUCCAGCUUGCGGUGGAUACGGGCUGACUGGAGUGCGGCAGGGGAGACUGGAAUUCCUGGCGUAGCGGUGAAAUGCGCAGAUAUCAGGAGGAACACCGGUGGCGAAGGCGGGUCUCUGGGCCGAUACUGACGCUGAGGAGCGAAAGCGUGGGGAGCGAACAGG